rnacentral:rRNA from 1 species
GAUGAACGCUGGCGGCGUGCCUAAUACAUGCAAGUCGAGCGAAUGGAUUAAGAGCUUGCUCUUAUGAAGUUAGCGGCGGACGGGUGAGUAACACGUGGGUAACCUGCCCAUAAGACUGGGAUAACUCCGGGAAACCGGGGCUAAUACCGGAUAACAUUUUGAACCGCAUGGGUCGAAAUUGAAAGGCGGCUUCGGCUGUCACUUAUGGAUGGACCCGCGUCGCAUUAGCUAGUUGGUGAGGUAAAGGCUCACAAAGGCAACGAUGCGUAGCCGACCUGAGAGGGUGAUCGGCCACACUGGGACUGAGACACGGCCCAGACUCCUACGGGAGGCAGCAGUAGGGAAUCUUCCGCAAUGGACGAAAGUCUGACGGAGCAACGCCGCGUGAGUGAUGAAGGCUUUCGGGUCGUAAAACUCUGUUGUUAGGGAAGAACAAGUGCUAGUUGAAUAAGCUGGCACCUUGACGGUACCUAACCAGAAAGCCACGGCUAACUACGUGCCAGCCGCCGCGGUAA